rnacentral:pre_miRNA from 1 species
GCGCGCCACCCUCUCCCCAAAGGGGCGAGGGGAGGCUGGAGCCGAGAGCCCCGUUGACCCCACCCAUUGACGCUGCAGCCAGGUCCCCUCGCCCCUUUGGGGAGAGGGUGCCGAGC